rnacentral:rRNA from 1 species
GCAUACGGCUCAGUAACACGUAGUCAACAUGCCCAGGGGACGUGGAUAACCUCGGGAAACUGAGGAUAAACCGCGAUAGGUCAUUACUUCUGGAAUGGGUAAUGACUUAAAUCUAUAUGGCCCCUGGAUUGGACUGCGGCCGAUCAGGCUGUUGGUGAGGUAAUGGCCCACCAAACCUGUAACCGGUACGGGCUCUGAGAGGAGGAGCCCGGAGAUGGGCACUGAGACAAGGGCCCAGGCCCUAUGGGGCGCAGCAGGCGCGAAACCUCUGCAAUAGGCGAAAGCUUGACAGGGUUACUCUGAGUGAUUUCCGUUAAGGAGAUCUUUUGGCACCUCUAAAAAUGGUGCAGAAUAAGGGGUGGGCAAGUCUGGUGUCAGCCGCCGCGGUAAUACCAGCACCCCGAGUGGUCGGGACGUUUAUUGGGCCUAAAGCAUCCGUAGCCGGUUCUACAAGUCUUCCGUUAAAUCCACCUGCUUAACAGAUGGGCUGCGGAAGAUACUAUAGAGCUAGGAGGCGGGAGAGGCAAGCGGUACUCGAUGGGUAGGGGUAAAAUCCGUUGAUCCAUUGAAGACCACCAGUGGCGAAGGCGGCUUGCCAGAACGCGCUCGACGGUGAGGGAUGAAAGCUGGGGGAGCAAACCGGAUUAGAUACCCGGGUAGUCCCAGCUGUAAACGAUGCAGACUCGGUGAUGAAUUGGCUUAUUGCUAAUUCAGUGCCGCAGGGAAGCCGUUAAGUUUGCCGCCUGGGGAGUACGGUCGCAAGACUGAAACUUAAAGGAAUUGGCGGGGGAGCACCACAAGGGGUGAAGCCUGCGGUUCAAUUGGAGUCAACGCCGGAAAUCUUACCGGGGGCGACAGCAGAGUGAAGGUCAAGCUGAAGACUUUACCAGACAAGCUGAGA